UACGGAGGGUGCGAGCGUUAUCCGGAUUCACUGGGUUUAAAGGGUGCGUAGGUGGGUCUGUAAGUCAGUGGUGAAAUCUCCGAGCUUAACUUGGAAACUGCCAUUGAUACUAUAGAUCUUGAAUUUUCUGGAGGUAAGCGGAAUAUGUCAUGUAGCGGUGAAAUGCUUAGAUAUGACAUAGAACACCAAUUGCGAAGGCAGCUUGCUACAGGAAUAUUGACACUGAGGCACGAAAGCGUGGGGAUCAAACAGG
rnacentral:rRNA from 1 species